rnacentral:rRNA from 1 species
UGCCAGCAGCCGCGGUAAUACGGAGAGUGCGAGCGUUGCUCGGAAUAACUGGGCGUAAAGGGCACGUAGGCGGCUUGGUAAGUCGGACGUGAAAUCCCAUGGCUCAACUGUGGAACUGCAUUCAAAACUGCCUGGCUAGAGUACGGAAGAGGAAGGCGGAAUUCCCAGUGUAGGGGUGAAAUCCGUAGAUAUUGGGAAGAACACCUGUGGCGAAGGCGGCCUUCUGGUACGAUACUGACGCUGAGGUGCGAAAGCGUGGGGAGCAAACAGGAUUAGAUA